AUAUGUUAACGACUCUGUUUCCAGUGCUUCAGUGGCACUGACAGUUGGAGAUACAGUUAUUGAAGUAAAGGUUUAUUCACCAGAUGAAACAAAUUUCCAGACAUAUGACAUUAUUGUCACACGUAUGGAGUUUCCUCUUAUGGUGAACUUUUUCAACGCUGAAGAACAGUCAUUGUAUGAAUGUCCCAUUUCUUUGAAAGCAUUUUACCGACCAGUGUCAAUCAAAGGGAGUGAUCCAAAGCAUACAUUUUCAACUCCUUGUAUUGACAUGUUAACACGACGAUCUAAAAUUGACCCACU